CCUACGGGGGGCAGCAGUGAGGAAUAUUGGUCAAUGGCCGGAAGGUUGAACCAGCCAAGCCGCGUGAAGGACGAAGGUGCCAAGCAUUGUAAACUUCUUUUGUCAAGGGACAAAACCAGGCUCGAGAGCCUGACCGAGGGUACUUGAAGAAAAAGCAUCGGCUAACUCCGUGCCAGCAGCCGCGGUAAUACGGAGGAUGCGAGCGUUAUCCGGAUUUAUUGGGGUUAAAGGGGGCGUAGGCGGGCUGUGAAGUCAGCGGUAAAAGGCCGGGGCUCAACCCCUGCGAGCCGUUGAAACUGUCUGUCUUGAGAUGUCGAGAGGUAUGCGGAAUGCGCAGUGUAGCGGUGAAAUGCUUAGAUAUUGCGCAGAACUCCGAUUGCGAAGGAAGCAUACCGGCGGCGAACUGACGCUGAGGCACGAAAGCGUGGGUAUCGAACAGGAUUAGAUACCCGUGUAGUC
rnacentral:rRNA from 1 species